rnacentral:lncRNA from 1 species
UAUGGAGAUAUUGAAGAGAGAGUGCAGGUAUUUAUUAAAGAAUAAAGAUACUAAGCAUAAUCAAUACGAGAAGUUACUUGGAUAUCUGCUCACUCGUCAAUGACAUUCUAGAUGUUGUAGUAGUAUAAGUAGUUUUUUGACCUAUAGUGUCUCGGCUGUUCAUAAUAAGGUUGUUAUAGUUUGACUACACCAUAACUUGAUCUCCUAGCCAUAUAAAGUCUUAAGAUGUAUGUUAGCUGCAGUAGAUUCAUUGUUGGAAUGGGGUGUG